UAGCCACUCCUUGGUGCCUGCAGGAAGUGUUCGUGGGAUGAAUGUUGAGUAACUGACCACGUGGACACUGUCUUUCCAGGUUUCUUGAAGUCUCUGCAGAGCCCCUGGAUGGUCGGGAGGAAAAACAGGAAGCCCAAAGUCACUGAAAGAGAAAGAAAAUGCAACUUGGAAAGGAAUGUGGUUGUGAAGCUGGCCAUGGUCCUCAUGGCUAAUACAGAGGAGGUAGAAAGAUGUCACCUAUAAACAGAUGGUAACUUGCAUUUUUUAUACCAGUGACAAAAUUUAAUCUUUUAGCUGGUGAAUUUCUUCUAUUAUAUUUAUUGUGAUUAUUAACAUAUUUGCAUUUAUUUCUACCAUUUUAUUGCAUGUUUUCUAUUUGUCUUAUUUUUUCUAUAUUAUUUUAAAUUUUAUUUUUGGUUGUGUUCAGUCUUCGUUGCUGCACGCGGGCUUUCUCUAGUUGUGGCAAGCGGGGGCUACUCUUAGUUGUGG